CCAACCACUUUUCACAAGAUGCUCUCUGAUCAGUGGUCGGACGAGCUGGUAGAGGAGGAAGGUCUUGAUCGAGAAUAUAGGUCAACUUUUUGAAACUCAAAACAAUCUUUAAGUUUCAAAAUCAAUCCUUAAUAUAGGAUUCAAUCAAUCAGUUGGUCUCUAGAAUGUGGGCUAGGGGAUUGGAAGCAGACAUGGUUCAUGUAGAGAGUCAAAAUUUCUAGUUAGAUUUUAUAAUUAACUUAAUCAAUUUAUUUUAAAAAUUUUAUUUUUAAAAUAAAUUAGAGCUUUCACUAUUUUUUUGAUUCCCCACACUCCC
rnacentral:lncRNA from 1 species